UGAUUUAUGGCAAAGACAAUUUGCUCUCUCGGGAGAUCAGACAACAUCCUACCCCAGAGAACCACACUGCAAAUAUGGAGAAAGAAACUUUUCUCCCUCAAGAGACCAAACAUCAUCCUAUCCUAGCAGACUACUCUAAAGAUAUGGAAAAAGAAAAACAGGACCCCUAGGAACGAAGGUCAGUCUCCUGCAGAGAAUUUCUCCCUAGAACAGCUGAUGAAGACAAGACUCAAAGACAUCAACCUGUUGCUCUUCAGCCUUCCUCAUUGUCCAUAUUUCACUGCCAAGUAACAGAGUUGGUAUAACUCUGGUAGCAAGCUUGAUGUCAUGAUGUCCUCACAGAGGCUGCUAAAGGGCCGAAAACAUGGCAGCAGCAGUAGCUGUUGCUAUGUAGUUGUCCACAGCUUUCAAGCUUCCUCCAAAACUGACACUUUCCAAGUAUUUGACAGUCACCAGCUGCUCCAAGGCCUGUCCAGACAGGUUAAUACUGAGCUAGCUAGUUGUAAUCUGGAGCUGAAGACUACAUGAUGUUAAUGACCAGGGUCUUAGUUUUAUUAAAUUAAUAAGCAGAACAAUGUGUGCUACUUUUUUGCCUGACCAGAUCGGCCAUCAGCUGCAGUGAUUUGCCCUCCAUGAUAAGUACCUUCAAAUCGUGAGGUUGUUAAUGCGGAAGUCAACCACUUGCAACUAUCUGAUUUACUGUCCUUGCAGCUGAAAUGGCCAAGAGUUUCUCUGUUGCUAAAGUAAAAAAUGACUAAUUAAACCUUGCAAAGGGGAUGUUCCAGUAUCCUGCAUGUUGGUGGCAAAUGUAAAAUGUUUGU